ACAAUGUCACUGGUUUUCAGUUUCAACUUUCUGUCACUGUUUUGGCGUAGGGAGGAGGGGCCUGAGAGGAGGGACAAAGGGGCGUGGUUUACAGGUAAUUUGCAUAGGCUACUGGGAGAGACCGCACCUCCACAGGCAUCCUCACCGAUCCAUGUGUUAUAACCACACACCACCGCAAUGGCUUCCACAAGUUCACCUGGAACCUCCAAAUCUAUGCACCUUCGACUGGGAGGCAGCUUAUGGAGAGACUGCUGAAAAGGCUUCAGGAAGUUCUGCAACGUCAGCCUGUGGAUUUUGACUAUUUACACUUACACUGUUUUUAGUCAUGAAAUGGGACUUGUACCCUUUCGCAUAGGCCAGUACACAUUAACCCUCAUAUGCAUUAUCAUUGCAUUUACUGUAAUUUGUUAUGAAAUAGAGAGAGAAUUCUUACUUGAAUAUAUUUAUUUAUUAUUCACUGAAAAUGUAUAGAUUUAACUGUUUUGCUGGAGUCCAUACUGUAAAUGCAUGUCAUUUCAAAAACUGUUAAGGAUUAAAAUCAGUACUACAUAUAAAGUA